AUUGAACGCUGGCGGCAGGCCUAACACAUGCAAGUCGAACGAGUGGCGGAAGGGUGAGUAAUGUCUGGGAAACUCCCCGAUGGAGGGGGAUAACUACUGGAAACGGCAGCUAAUACCGCAUAACAUCAGAUGGGCCCAGAUUGGAUUAGCUUGUGGGUGGGGUAACGGCUCACCAAGGCUACGAUCCCUAGCUGGUCGGGAGGUAUGACCGUCCCCACUGGAGUGGUGACCCGGUCCGGCCUCUUACGGGAGGCAGCAGUGGGGAAUAUUGCACAAUGGGUGAAAGCCUGAUAGCGCGCGGCCCCGUGUAUGAAGACGGCCUUCGGGCGUUAAAGUACUUUCUGCGGGGAGGCGUUACCUGCAGAAGAAGCGCCGGCUAACUCCGUGCCAGCCGCCGCGGUAAUAC
rnacentral:rRNA from 1 species